GUGAAAUACAAGAACAUACUACAGAAUGCAACCAAGAAAAGGGCAGAGCAACAAAAGACAGGUGGUGGUCCUGCACCCCCUCGUCACACCCCAGCAGAGGAGCUGGCCCUAAGGUUGAAUGCCACCAGACCCAUUGUUGAGGGCAUCCCUGGGGGCAGCUCUUCCGGAGACCAGAAGCCGGGGUGCAGUAGCAGCAGCACCUACAUAACUGUGUUACAUGACACACCAUCACUUUUACCUGUUCCCAUGGAAGGGGUGACUGGAACAUGCACAGACAGUGACGCAACCCUGUCAGAUGGCUGUGGUGUGGCGGAAGACCCUGCCAAGAGGCCGGCAGAGAGGCCUGCUGAUGCAGAGGGUGACAUACGUCUGCUCUACAAGAGAAGUCUCCAGCAAAAGAUGGAGUAUACUGAGCUGAAGAAACAAAAGCUCCUAGGUGAGAUCGAACUACAAGCCCUAAUGAGGCAGAAACUACAAUUGGAAAUCGAGGUGCUUCAAAAGGAACUCCAGA
ensembl:lncRNA